rnacentral:rRNA from 1 species
UGGGGAAUUUUGGACAAUGGGCGCAAGCCUGAUCCAGCCAUUCCGCGUGCAGGACGAAGGCCUUCGGGUUGUAAACUGCUUUUGUACGGAACGAAAAGGCUCUGGCUAAUACCUGGGGCUCAUGACGGUACCGUAAGAAUAAGCACCGGCUAACUACGUGCCAGCAGCCGCGGUAAUACGUAGGGUGCAAGCGUUAAUCGGAAUUACUGGGCGUAAAGCGUGCGCAGGCGGUUAUGUAAGACAGAGGUGAAAUCCCCGGGCUCAACCUGGGAACUGCCUUUGUGACUGCAUAGCUGGAGUACGGCAGAGGGGGAUGGAAUUCCGCGUGUAGCAGUGAAAUGCGUAGAUAUGCGGAGGAACACCGAUGGCGAAGGCAAUCCCCUGGGCCUGUACUGACGCUCAUGCACGAAAGCGUGAGGAGCAAACAG